rnacentral:ncRNA from 8 species
CGAUAGUUUAAAUGUCGCUUAAAUUAGAAAUAAUUUAUUAUGAAAAAUUGGGUUAAUUUUAAGAAAGUCUCUAAAAUUAUAAUUAUUUAUAAACUAUUUAAAAAAUAUUUUUAUUAUUUAUUUAAUUAUAAUAGAGAAAACUUGAAGCGAAGCUAGUUUAGGCAUAAAAUAAAUUAAACUAGAACGUUCAACGACUAGUAGGUGAGUGCAAAAUGUCCACAAUAAUCCUACCACGAAAGCCCAACAACUACAAAUUAAAAAUAAAAAUAUAAAAUUUAGUUGAUGACAUAGUCUGAUCCUAUUUGUGAAAAUAGGAAGCUUAUAAUAAAGAAUUUAAGCUAAUAACAUAAUGGUCGACUUAUCCUAUCCUCCG